CCGGUUGCUUAGACCAAAACUGCCUUACUGGGAGCAACCUCAGAAGGCAUGAGAGAGAAGAAGAAGAACUCGAAUAAAUUAAAUUUAAAUUAAUCAAAGACCUUAUAAACACAAGUCACUAAAUACUAAAUUAGUUAGUUAAUAUUUAUUAUCCGAAUAGAUUAUCGGUACGUUAUCUAAAAAAAAAUAGUACAAUAAAAAUGCCAGAAAACUGUUUUUGACCGAAAAUAUUUUUUGAAAAUGAUAUCUGUGCUAAAACAAUGCCAAAAAUUAUCCAAAAAUAAACAUAUCUAUAGAAUAAAUGUGCGGUAUUUCGCCAGAGCAAUUUCAGGAGAUAGAAGUACACCUUUAACUGAUGAUACACUAACUGGGAGAUUCUUAUCAUAUCUGGAUAAUAAUCUUUCAAAAGCUACAACAUAUAAUGAUAAAAUUGGGUUGGUGGCAACAAUAAAGACACAGCCACAAGAAAUCAGAAAUUUUGACACCAAUGGAGUUAACUUAGUAUUAAGUGUGUUAAAUGAUAGAACUGUUAUAAAACAUAAAAAUGAAUUUAAAAGAAUAUUGGAACUGGUUGAUGUAGAAUGUUGUAGCAGACUACAUGAGUUCAGCACUAAGAAUAUAUUUGAUACCUUGACAAAUUUUGUAAAUGCUGUGCCACACCAGAUAACUAAAUGCCAGUUUUUCCAUUCGGCACUAGACUGUUUGGUUAUUCAUAAGGAAAAGUUAAAUAAAGACCAACUGGUUCAUCUAUUGUUUUUCAUAGGAUUUUUAAAAAAGAAUUAUAAUGCUCAAAACAUGAUUAGGCAGUGUUUAAAAUUAUUUGACCACAGUACAAUUAAUAGACUGAUGAAAGAAGAUUUAUGCAUUAUUUGCAACUCUACUUUUAAAACCAGUACUAAAAUAAAAAAUCAUUUACUAUUAGACAAAAUAAAACUAUAUAUUAAUGACAACUUAACCCUUCUAAAUGAUCCUGCUGUCUUUAUAACAUUAAUAAAAACUCUAAGACACAAUCGGUACCAAGAUGAUGAUAUUCUCAACUCCAUUACAUGCACUAUUUUCUUCAAUGGAACUUUAAAGUAUUAUUCCUUUAGUGCCAUGUGUCAUAUAUUGGCUUUAUAUGCUGAUUAUUUAUAUUAUGAUGAAUCUAUUUUAAAAGUCCUAACUGAAAAGUGCCUAAAUGACCUAAAACAUUUAUCAUUUAAAUCCAAAGAUACUUAUCUUCAGGAACAACCUAGAAUGAAAGAUAUAAAAAGAUUUUUGUGGGCAUUAACUAACUUAAACUACAAAAUUUCCCGAGAAGAGAUUGAAGGUAUUAUAUUACCUCAAAUAGAAAUCCGAGUAGAUGCUGGAGAGUUUACAAAUGAUGUAGGAUCAAUGUUUCAAAUUAUUCUUUAUUUGUGGAUGAUGAACUAUAAGGCAUGUGGAUUAAUUGACCAGUUUAUGGUCAAUGAUUUAAUUCAGAAAUACAAAGCUCAAAACCUACCAAAUCAACAAAGUCUAAACCUACUUCUAACAAGUAUUUACUAUGAAGACCCAAACCUCUUUCAAAAAUUAAAAAUACCAUUGGAAGCCACGUCGCAUGUUUAUAAUCAAGAUUAUCAGCUAGCCAAAAGACCUGUUCUCAGGAAGGUUAUUCAAAGCCUAAAGUCAACAUUUCCACAAAACAAGAAUAACAGGGUAUCAAAAGAAGAUUUAUAAAACUGUGAAUAUUGAAAUUUUGGAUGAGUAUACUACUUUGAAAAAUAGUGACAACGUGCCAUCUGGAUUAAUGCAGUUAAAGAUGAGAAUUUUAGAUAAGUGUGAUGAAGCAUUGAUUGUGAUAUGUGAAGAUGAGUUUGCUGGACUGACUGACUUAGAACUGCAGCAGUUUUUGGAAGAUGAAAUAAAUUUAGUAUGCUAGUGUAUUUCUACUACGUAGUUCCUAAAAUUGUUACCUAUGUUUGGCUUUAGGAAUGUUGUUGAUUUUUAAGCUUUAUAAUCUGAGUUAAAAAAAUGAUCAAUGGUCAUUCCAAUGAUUUGCUCAAAAUGUAUUAAUUUAAAGUGUAUUAGAACUGAAUAAUUAGGAAUGUUUUUGUUAAGACAAAAAACAGUAUUUUGUAAUAAGCUUUUAACAGUUUAUUCUGAUAUUCAAAAUGUACAUUAUAAUAUUUAUAUAAUAAAUUAAAGAAUUAUUUAUUUACAA
rnacentral:misc_RNA from 1 species